AAGUCGUAACAAGGUUUCCGUAGGUGAACCUGCGGAAGGAUCAUUAACACGUAUCCAAACGUUAAAACCCCCCCCGUGAACCUUCAUCCUGCUCUUGUAACCCGCGAAGCUUGCAAUCUCUGGUAAAUCAUAGCCCGGAAAGUAGUUUGAUUCCAAUCGACUGCGGUAGUUCUAUAGGCAUUGUUUCCCCAAGCAGUCAGUGUCUGAAAGUGUCAUUGAUUGUGCAAGGAUAGCGCUUCACGAUUCCUGCAGACCGUACACUCGGGCAGGAGCUAUGCCAAAGGGUCCCCAUGCCCCCUUAUAACCCCACAGUUUAAUGUGAAGCUCAAUGUAAUACAUUGGGUAAAAAAACCGAACAACUGUUAACAAUGGAUAUCUUGGUUCUC
rnacentral:misc_RNA from 1 species